rnacentral:lncRNA from 1 species
GGUUUCAAUGACACAGAACUGAACAAGAAGCUGUUGAGGAAGAACAAUGGCAGUCUCAAGCGCGUGGUCAUGGAUCUUAUUGCUGUAGAGAAAUAUUAGUCUGAACAUGCCUGGUUGAAAUCCCUGAUGUUAUGUUAUAUAAAUAAAUCUUGGAAUAGCAUAAAGCAGCAGCAGCAGCAGCAGCAAUCGCCGGAUGUUAUGCAUUUUAGUUUUUAAUUUCUAGAGCGGGCGUUUUUCGCCAAUUCUCUUUUCUUCUGGAACUUGCCACUUAUGGAUUAUAAU